rnacentral:misc_RNA from 1 species
GAUGAAGAACGCAGCGAAAUGCGAUAAGUAGUGUGAAUUGCAGAAUUCAGUGAAUCAUCGAAUCUUUGAACGCACAUUGCGCCCUUUGGUAUUCCUUAGGGCAUGCCUGUUCGAGCGUCAUUUAAACCUUCAAGCUCAGCUUGGUGUUGGGUGACUGUCCGCUUCACCGCGGACUCGCCUCAAAAUUAUUGGCGGCCGGUACAUUGGCUCUCGAGCGCAGCAGAAACGCGUAACUCGAGGUCCUCGUGCUGGCUCCCAGAAGCUAUCUUCACAAUUUUGACCUCGGAUCAGGUAGGGAUACCCGCUGAACUUAAGCAUAUCAAUAACGGAGGA